GAUGAACGCUGGCGGCGUGCCUAAUACAUGCAAGUCGAGCGAACGGACGAGAAGCUUGCUUCUCUGAUGUUAGCGGCGGACGGGUGAGUAACACGUGGAUAACCUACCUAUAAGACUGGGAUAACUUCGGGAAACCGGAGCUAAUACCGGAUAUAUUUUGGACCGGAUGGUUCAAAAGUGAAAGACGGUCUUGCCGUCCCUUAUAGAUGGAUCCGCGCUGCAUUAGCUAGUUGGUAAGGUAACGGCUUACCAAGGCAACGAUGCAUAGCCGACCUGAGAGGGUGAUCGGCCACACUGGAACUGAGACACGGUCCAGACUCCUACGGGAGGCAGCAGUAGGGAAUCUUCCGCAAUGGGCGAAAGCCUGACGGAGCAACGCCGCGUGAGUGAUGAAGGUCUUCGGAUCGUAAAACUCUGUUAUUAGGGAAGAACAUAUGUGUAAGUAACUGUGCACAUCUUGACGGUACCUAAUCAGAAAGCCACGGCUAACUACGUG
rnacentral:rRNA from 1 species